rnacentral:rRNA from 1 species
GACGAACGCUGGCGGCGUGCUUAACACAUGCAAGUCGAACGGAAAGGCCCUGCGCUUGUUCGUUUCUCGAUUGGCGAACGGGGGAGUAACACGUGAGUAACCUGCCCUUGUCUUUGUGAUAACUUCAGGAAACUGGGGCUAAUACCGGAUAUGAUCUCCUGCUGCAUGGUGGGGGUUGGAAAGUUUCGGCUGUAGUGGAUGGACUCGCGGCUUAUCAGCUUGUUGGUGGGGUAGUGGCUUCCCAAGGCUUUGACGGGUAGCCUGCCUGAGAGGGUGACCGGGGACCAUGGGCCUGCGGUAGGGAGCAGAAGCGAAUCGGCCGCAGUAGUCGAGAGCCUUGCACAACAGGGGGAAGUGUGUUGCGGAGAUGCUCGGUGCGGAAAACCGGGUUACGAGUUAUGAACAGAUGUGGAAGGAGCCAAACACUGCGUGACGGUACCGGGUAAGAAAGCAACGGCUAACUACGUG